AGAGUUUGAUCCUGGCUCAGGAUGAACGCUAGCGGCAGGCUUAACACAUGCAAGUCGAGGGGCAGCGGGGAGGAAGCUUGCUUUCUCCGCCGGCGACCGGCGCACGGGUGAGUAACACGUAUGCAACCUGCCCCUGUCAGGGGGACAACCCGCCGAAAGGCGGGCUAAACCCGCGUACAUGCCACCGGGGCAUCCCGGAGGCAGGAAAGGCUUCGGCCGGACAGGGAUGGGCAUGCGGCGCAUUAGGCAGUAGGCGGGGUAACGGCCCACCUAACCGACGAUGCGUAGGGGUUCUGAGAGGAAGGUCCCCCACACUGGUACUGAGACACGGACCAGACUCCUACGGGAGGCAGCAGUGAGGAAUAUUGGUCAAUGGUCGGGAGACUGAACCAGCCAAGCCGCGUGAGGGAGGAAGGUACAGAGUAUCGUAAACCUCUUUUGUCAGGGAACAAAGGCGGGGACGUGUCCCCGGAUGAGUGUACCCGAAGAAAAAGCAUCGGCUAACUCCGUGCCAGCAGCCGCGAUAAUACGGAGGAUGCGAGCGUUAUCCGGAUUUAUUGGGUUUAAAGGGUGCGCAGGCGGUCUGUUAAGUCAGCGGUCAAAGCCCGGGGCUCAACCCCGGCCCGCCGUUGAAACUGGCAGUCUCGAGUUGGAGAGAAGUAUGCGGAAUGCGCGGUGUAGCGGUGAAAUGCAUAGAUAUCGCGCAGAACUCCGAUUGCGAAGGCAGCAUGCCGGCUCCACACUGACGCUGAGGCACGAAAGCGUGGGUAUCGAACAGGAUUAGAUACCCUGGUAGUCCACGCAGUAAACGAUGAAUGCUGGCUGUCCGGGGGGACUGACCCCUGGGUGGCGAAGCGAAAGCGAUAAGCAUUCCACCUGGGGAGUACGCCGGCAACGGUGAAACUCAAAGGAAUUGACGGGGGCCCGCACAAGCGGAGGAACAUGUGGUUUAAUUCGAUGAUACGCGAGGAACCUUACCCGGGCUCAAACGGGGAGUGGCGCAGGCAGAGACGCCUGUUUCCCACGGGACACUCCCCGAGGUGCUGCAUGGUUGUCGUCAGCUCGUGCCGUGAGGUGUCGGCUUAAGUGCCAUAACGAGCGCAACCCCCGCGUGCAGUUGCUAACAGUCAACGCUGAGGACUCUGCACGGACUGCCGGCGCAAGCCGCGAGGAAGGCGGGGAUGACGUCAAAUCAGCACGGCCCUUACGUCCGGGGCGACACACGUGUUACAAUGGGUGGUACAGCGGGAAGCCAGGCGGCGACGCCGAGCGGAACCCGAAAUCCACUCUCAGUUCGGAUCGGAGUCUGCAACCCGACUCCGUGAAGCUGGAUUCGCUAGUAAUCGCGCAUCAGCCAUGGCGCGGUGAAUACGUUCCCGGGCCUUGCACUCACCGCCCGUCA
rnacentral:rRNA from 1 species